UCUCCGUAGGUGAACCUGCGGAGGGAUCACUACAGGCUCGCAAAAGCUCUGAAACCACUGUUUAUCUACCUGAAUCUGCUUCGGCGGGCGGCCCCAGGGCGGGGCCGUAUCCGCAAGGCGCCCGCCGAAGACCCCUAAACUCUGUCGUCUUGAGAAUCUCUGAGUAUCAUAUUAAACAGAAAACAACUUUCAACAACGGAUCUCUUGGCUCUG
rnacentral:misc_RNA from 1 species